rnacentral:rRNA from 1 species
GAUGAACGCUGGCGGCAGGCCUAACACAUGCAAGUCGAGGGGCAGCAUGGUCUUCCUACUGAUGGCGACGGGCAAAGGGGUGAGGAACACGUAUGCAUUCUGCCCUUAUCUGGAGGAUGGCCCACUGAAAGGUGGAUUAAUACUCAAUGGUAUUAUUAUUUGGCAUCAAAUAGUAAUUAAAGAUUUAUCGUAUAAGGAUGAGCGUGCGUAAGAUUAGCUAGUUGGUGACGUAACGGCUCACCACGGCGACGAUCUUUAGCUGAUGUGAGAGCAUGAUCAUCCACAUGGGCACUGAUACAACGGCCCCCCUCCUACGGGAGGCAGCAGUGAGGAAUAUUGGGCAAUGGACGGAACUCUCACCCUCCCAUGCCGCGUGAAGGAUGAAGGCGUUCAUCGUUGUAAACUUCUUUUAUCUUGGAAGAAAUCACUUUUUUAAGAGGUGUUGACUGUACCUGAGGAAUAAGCACCGGCUAACUCCGUGCCAUCCGCCGCGGUAAUACCGAGGGUGCAAGCGUUAUCCGGAUUUACUGGAUUUAAAGGGUGCAUAGGCGGCCUGUUAAGUCAGUGGUGAAAUCUCUGGGCUCAACCUCCGAACUGCCAUAGAAACUAAUGAGCUUGAAUGAUGUUAAGGUUGGCGAAACACAUCAUGUAGCUGGUAAAUGCAUAGAUAUGUUGUAGAACACCGAAUAGCAUACGCGGCUGACUAGACUGACAUGUGACGCUGAUGCCCGAGAGCGUGGAGAGCAUACGGGAUUAGAUACAUUAGAAGUCCACGUCCUACACGAUGAUACUAUUCAUACGUGGAUGCUCAUGUUGUGACUAAGCGAAAGCAUUAAGUAAUCCACCUGGAAAUUGCUUGCGCAAGAAUGAAACUCAAAAAAAUAGACGGGGGUCCGCACACGCGGUGGAGCAUGUGGUAUAAUUCGAUGAUACGCGAGGCACCUCACCUCGGCUAGAAUGUGAGAGACGGAUUCUGAAAGAAGUCUUUCUUCAAGGACUCGAAACAAGGUGCUGCAUGGCUGUCGUCAGCUCGUGCCGUGAGGUGUUGGGUUAAGUCCCGCAACGAGCGCAACCCCCAUCUUCAGUUGCCAACGGGUAAAGCCGGGAACUCUGAAGAAACCGCCGUCGUAAGACCAGAGGAAGGAGGGGACGAUGUCAAGUCAUCAUGGCCCUUAUGCCCAGGGCUACACACGUGCUACAAUGGUAAGGACAAUGGGCAGCUACCCGGCGACGGGAUGCCAAUCUCCAAAACCUUAUCUCAGUUCGGAUUGCAGUCUGCAACUCGCCUCCAUGAAGUUGGAAUCGCUAGUAAUCGCGCAUCAGCAAUGGCGCGGUGAAUACGUUCCCGGACCUUGUACACACCGC